rnacentral:misc_RNA from 1 species
GUAGGUGGCAAGUUUGCCUCCGGGAGCCCUCGCAGCGACUCUAAAGAAUUGCUCCAGUCGGUCCCCCCGCGAGGGCACCGGCGACGCCGUCAUUCUGCGCUGGAAGGCCCCCGUCGGGCCCGACCAGAAGCUCCGUAGCGAGUCCACAGAUCAAACGACAGCGGCCGCCCCGAGGGUGGUUUAGAUAUGACCGGCCCCAGCCUUCGUCGGCUGGCGACAUCGCGGAACCUGCGGAAGGAUCAUUAAUGAGAGGGGCCUCCGGGCUCCGGGGGCUUCGGCCCCCAACUCUUCACCCUGUGUCUACAUACCUUUGUUGCUUUGGCGGGCCUUGGGGUUUGCCCCAUUCCGGCCCCGGGCUUCUCCGUCCGGGCUGGCUCGUGCCCGUCAGAGGCCCAUCAAACUCCCUUUUAUCAGUGUCGUCCGAGCAAAAACACAAUAGUAAAAACUUUCAACAACGGAUCUCUUGGUUCUG